rnacentral:rRNA from 1 species
AGUGAACGCUGGCGGUAGGCCUAACACAUGCAAGUCGAACGGCAGCACAGUAAGAGCUUGCUCUUACGGGUGGCGAGUGGCGGACGGGUGAGGAAUACAUCGGAAUCUACUUUUUCGUGGGGGAUAACGUAGGGAAACUUACGCUAAUACCGCAUACGACCUACGGGUGAAAGCAGGGGAUCUUCGGACCUUGCGCGAUUGAAUGAGCCGAUGUCGGAUUAGCUAGUUGGCGGGGUAAAGGCCCACCAAGGCGACGAUCCGUAGCUGGUCUGAGAGGAUGAUCAGCAAAACUGGAACUGAGACACGGUCCAGACUCCUACGGGAGGCAGCAGUGGGGAAUAUUGGACAAUGGGCGCAAGCCUGAUCCAGCCAUACCGCGUGGGUGAAGAAGGCCUUCGGGUUGUAAAGCCCUUUUGUUGGGAAAGAAAAGCAGCAGGUUAAUACCCCGCUGUUCUGACGGUACCCAAAGAAUAAGCACCGGCUAACUUCGUG